rnacentral:lncRNA from 1 species
GACAGGAGCUUUUGAUCACCGCUGUUAGAACUAGAUUGGAAACAGUGACCUACAGCCAGUGCUUUGAGUUGUUCAGUCCCAGAAGAAGUUGCAGUCCAGAGACAGCAGUCCAGCAAGCAGUUCCAGCUCUGGGCCAGGCAGGAUGUUGUCUAUCAGCUUUGCAUCUGCUGGCAUGUGGUGGUCAUCUUAAAUGAUUCCUACAGUCAUGGCACAGACCCCAUCCCUUGUCUUCCUCCUCCUUCAGCUCAGGAACCAGGAGUGGGGAAAACAAACAUCAAACAACCUGAGUCCUUCCCAGGAGAGAGGAAGCAAAACUUGAACCCCUUCCCCACAACCCUGAUUCUUCCAUAUGGUACAUGCAGCCCCCCCACACACACCCUGCCCCCCACCUCCCCGGGCUGUGUUUAG